AGGUAACAAUAAUAUAGCAUUGAUUAAUACAGAAAAAUUCUCUACUGCUGACUUGAAGUUGUAGUUGUAACUUGAAGUUGAAGUUGUAACUUGUACACAAGUUGCUGGUAUUUAAAUCAAGUUGAACUGCGUCAAACGAAAAACAAUUUAAGUUAUUACUUUUAAAGGUACAAUGGUAUUUGUUUAGAUUUUGAAUUUAUUUAAAUCUAAA